rnacentral:rRNA from 1 species
GUCCGACGGUACAGGGUGAUAGUCCCGUACACCAAAAUGCACAGGUUGUGAACUCGAAGAGUAGGGCGGGACACGUGGUAUCCUGUCUGAAUAUGGGGGGACCAUCCUCCAAGGCUAAAUACUCCUGACUGACCGAUAGUGAACCAGUACCGUGAGGGAAAGGCGAAAAGAACCCCGGCGAGGGGAGUGAAAAAGAACCUGAAACCGUGUACGUACAAGCAGUGGGAGCACCUUCGGGUGUGACUGCGUACCUUUUGUAUAAUGGGUCAGCGACUUAUAUUCUGUAGCAAGGUUAACCGUAUAGGGGAGCCGCAGGGAAACCGAGUCUUAACUGGGCGUUAAGUUGCAGGGUAUAGACCCGAAACCCGGUGAUCUAGCCAUGGGCAGGUUGAAGGUUGGGUAACACUAACUGGAGGACCGAACCGACUAAUGUUGAAAAAUUAGCGGAUGACUUGUGGCUGGGGGUGAAAGGCCAAUCAAACCGGGAGAUAGCUGGUUCUCCCCGAAAGCUAUUUAGGUAGCGCCUCGUGAACUCAUCUUCGGGGGUAGAGCACUGUUUCGGCUAGGGGGUCAUCCCGACUUACCAACCCGAUGCAAACUACGAAUACCGAAGAAUGUUAUCACGGGAGACACACGGCGGGUGCUAACGUCCGUCGUGAAGAGGGAAACAACCCAGACCGCCAGCUAAGGUCCCAAAGUCAUGGUUAAGUGGGAAACGAUGUGGGAAGGCACAGACAGCCAGGAUGUUGGCUUAGAAGCAGCCAUCAUUUAAAGAAAGCGUAAUAGCUCACUGGUCGAGUCGGCCUGCGCGGAAGAUGUAACGGGGCUAAACCAUGCACCGAAGCUGCGGCAGCGACACUAUGUGUUGUUGGGUAGGGGAGCGUUCUGUAAGCCUGCGAAGGUGUGCUGUGAGGCAUGCUGGAGGUAUCAGAAGUGCGAAUGCUGACAUAAGUAACGAUAAAGCGGGUGAAAAGCCCGCUCGCCGGAAGACCAAGGGUUCCUGUCCAACGUUAAUCGGGGCAGGGUGAGUCGACCCCUAAGGCGAGGCCGAAAGGCGUAGUCGAUGGGAAACAGGUUAAUAUUCCUGUACUUGGUGUUACUGCGAAGGGGGGACGGAGAAGGCUAUGUUAGCCGGGCGACGGUUGUC